UCUGUUUGAACCCUAAAAUUGCACACUGAAAUGAAAACAUCGCUGCCAGCCACUACUAUGUUAGAGGAAGGACAAAAAUGAGGCCACUGAUGUGUUAGAGGAAGGUCGAAAACAACAUUGCCACUGUGAUCUGCUCUGGCGAUGAUAUGCUCCAGCAACGAUCUGCUCCAACGAUGAUAUGCUCCAGUGAUGAUCUUCUCAGAUGUGUUCUCCUUCGAUUAGAAUCUCCUUUCCAUCGAGAUUCUGUGUUGUGAACCGAAACAUUCCUUCUUAUCUCCUCUAGUGACGAUCUCAGUCGGCGAUGUUCUCCUCUGGCGGCGCGUUCUCCUCUGGCUACAAUCUCGGCAGUGUUCUCCUACUUCAUUAAGCUACAAAGCUCUACACAAGUUUUGUUGAUUGAGGAAGUGACAUAGAAAGCAGAGAAGCAUUAAAGAAUGUGGUAAGCUAGAGUGUUUACCAGAACAGGGUUUCAAAGGCUUAUCUUCACUUUGAAAUUUGUCAAUUAAUUACUAUAAGCAUUUGGGAUCCUUGCUUCAUGAUGUUCGGCACUUAACUUCACUUCAAUUUUUAUCUAUUAAAUACUGUCCAUCGAUGAGAAAUCGGUGUGAGAAAAGAACAGGGGAGGAUUGGCACAAGAUAGCACACGUUUCCCAUGUAUAUUGUGGGUGUAUCUUCUGGAUAUUGUUCCUCAUCCACAUUGUAGUUAGGGAGAAACAAGAUUCUAUUUCAGUAUUUGGUCACUUACAGCAAACUUUAGAGCCUCAACUAUAGAACUUUUAUAUUGUGAAGAUUUUGAUUAUGGCCCCUUCCAAAAAAUUCAAAAGUGUAAAUAAGAGGUUUCUUAACUCAUAAGAAGAGAAGAUUGGCUGACAUGUUAGGGCUACAAUGGAGCAAGCAGGAACUUGAGCAUUUCUAUAAAGCUUACCGUAAAUAUGGAAAAGACUGGAUGAAGGCAUACUUAUCUCUUCUAGAGGGCACUGCUUCUGUUGUUGGACUUAUAGCAAUGAUGAUAGAUCAUUAUAGUGUACUGGGAGGAAGUGACAGUGAAUAGGAGAGCAAUGAAGAUGCAAAAGUAUCCAAAAGGUCUCAAAAAUGUUUGCAAAGAAAACAAAUGAAUGACCAUAAAACAUUAGAAGGACCCUUUUUAGAUCAUUCUCAAUCACAAUCUGUUGCAUCAGGUGAUGGUUCUUUAUUGCUGUUGAAGACUAGGAAUUUUGGGCUUACUUCUUAUACUGUCAAAAAACGAACUCCUUGAGUACCUAUUUCACAUUCCAUUGGUAAAGAUAAUGCAGAAACGUUAUUUUCAUCUGCUAGACAGGGGCACAAACAAAUGGUUGUUACUAAUGAUGUUACGCAUAAGAUUGCAUUAGCAUUGGCCGAGGCUUCACAAAGAAGUGGCUCCUCAAAAAUUCCUGUAUCUCCAAACAAGAUAGCAGCGCCAUCGCCUAACCGAAUGGACCGAACCGAUUGAACCAGGCUCAAACCGGACCCAUGGGCCCAACCAGUUCAGCAUUUAAAUGAGCCUAAAGCUCAUUUCCUUCACUAAACACAACAGAAACAGCAACGCACCAUGGGAGAAGAGAAAGAAGAAAUUCCCCAAAAACCCUUAUGGUGAUUCAAAAUGCCGUAACUCCUCCGUCCGAGCUCCGAUCGCCGCACCAUUUGCGGCCACGCGACCACAGCGUUGAGCUCUACGUUUCUACUAGAACAAUUUCAUAGGAUCCAAUUAGCUUGAGAAAAAUAUUCACUCUUACUUAUGUGAAGCUUAGGUAAGGUUGUGAAUAAAUAAUUGGAGCUUGAAAUUGUGAAUACCGGAACUUGAAGGAAGCUAUUUCAUUGAGGUUUGGGGGCUGUGAUUGGUUUUAAUAAAUUACCUUGAUCAUUACGAGGAAAUCGGCUAAGAUGCAGGUCGAGAGGCGUCUCAUUAGGCGUCUGGACUCCUGAAGCGAAGUUGUUACUGG